CAGGAGGUGGAGGCAGUCCACGCUGGGCCCUGCAGUUCCGGGGCUGGUGCUCUAGCAGAUCCGCUCAGGCCCAGUUGGGUGACCAUGUGGUCACAGAUCAGGUGGAUUACUUCUAGGGCAGUGCUGGGUUCAUCUGUCAUUGGGUCUCAGUCUGGAAAGAGGACACAUCUUCCCACCACAAAUCCACACCUGGCCUCAGCUGCUGCCCGCUCUUUGCAGCGUGGACUUCCUUUACCCAUUUGGACCAGAAGGUCAUCAGGAGUUCUUACUGGUGUCAACUUGACAGCUCCAGCUUCCAGACAGAAAAUCCACUCUGCUUUGUACAGCCCUGUCCCAGAGUUAGUGAGCCUCAGCCUCAUCACCUGCUUGCAAAGAGUAUAGACGUUCUGGGUAGUUCUAGAGGAUAUCUCGGCAAGUGCAUUUGAAGGCUCAACACAGCUGGAAUCAUUUGGCAGUGAGCUUUUCAGAAUGACUGGACGGCCAUCUGUCCUGGAAAUCGUAGAAAGGAUUAUGAAUUGAAUAAAUCACUGAAAAUAGAACACUUCAUGGAGGCUUUCUUCAGAACUGAACUAGAAACAAGGUUUCCAGGCUCCCAGGUCAGAAGACCAAACCAACCUCCUUAGAUUAUUAUUUUUUUUUAAGCUGUUUGCAGAGAACUGGGUGGUAGCAAGACUGAAUCAAAUGGAAGAAGAGCCAACGGAGCGUGGACUGUUGAGCACGGGCCAGAUGGCCAGCUGUCGAGAGCAGCCCUGCCCAGAUUCUGGCAGGGGCUGCACCAGCGGCUUCACAGGGCCCUUCCAACUCUGGAGUGUCUGUAGUUCUUGUAAACCAAAACAUUGACUACCUGCCUCUUUGCCCUCGGGCAUUGACAUGCUCAUUUCCAAAGAUGAUAGUGCAGGUGACCUUUUCCAUCGUGAGCCAGGAGAACGUUAGGAGGCCUGAGGGGUGGGUCUUAGGUCCCCUCCUCCCCCUCCACAGCCCGAGACGUGGAAUUUCCCUCACAGACCCCAUCUGGUCGGGCCUACGGCUGCCCAGUGUACACUCAGUGAUGCUUAUACCAAAUAGGGCAUGUGCGCUGGAGUCUGUCAGGGACAGCCUGUCCCUACCUUGGAGUCGGCAGAGAAGCAGCAAUAAGUAUUAGGCAAAUGAUUGAAAGGGCUGCUGGGCUGAGAGGCCUUCAGUACCCUUAACGUGGCUUUCCAAGUUCCUGACGAGGCUACAAAGGCUCCACUCAUAAAAGAAAAUAAAUGUAAAUAAAUGGAAAACGAAGCCUCGAUGCGUGGUUUUUAAAGGGGGAUGAUGAAUGUGAAACCACCCACAGAAUGCGUUAAGAGUCUGGUUUUUCUGUGCUUUGUCAUUUUACUCCGAUAGGAACUUUUGUUACUUAACUCUGUGCAUAACUUAUUUAAUGUACUGUAUAAACGAACCAAAACUGUUAAAUAUGUAUCUAGUUUGUUCUACUUAAAGUAGUCAAUAAAAAGGCUAUAUUCCUUUUC